CCAACAGCACACAUUUUGGACCCCCAAUAGACGCCAAUACUAAUAGUUAACAGAGCGCUCGAUGAUUUAUUGUGUACUCUGAUAAGGGAGGACUAGCUAUCCACCGGGUCUGUUGCACUGGUGUGUUCUUAACAACAAAGGGCGGGGUAAACUUGUACUCGAUCUGCCAGUGAAGCUGUACCAUUCUCUCAUUGGUGUUUAAUCGGCUUAUAACACUGCGUCGCCGUCCAAACAGGAAACGCUGUGUACAUCAAAGCACACAUUAAUUACAAGCCAAGGCAAUAAGGCAUACCAGACGAGUCCAGGAACAGGCCUAGCUAGUCCAGAAGAUCGAUGCUUAAACUUUGGAUACAUUAUAAACCAUAGGAAAAUAUAUCAACGAAUAUAUCUACUACUCGACAGAUCACGCAACAGGGACCGCGAACCGAUUUUCCUUGGAACAUAACAGCGGGCGGACAACCAGCACAGCUGUCGUGGAAUUAUAUCACUGCCCUGUUCAAACACAUGCUAUAGAUUUAGAUUGGAUCUAUAUAUUGGAUUGGAUAUUGGAGCUAUUAUAUCUUUCAUUUUUAAAAGCUCUUUGAUAUUUCGAAAUGGCGUCUUCGUCAACUCAAAUGGCGCUUCACAAGAACAUUGAUCAGCUUCAGAGGGAACUCAAUGUGGAGCGGGUCAAAGUCUCACAGUGCACAGCUGACCUUGUUCAAUACUGCGAGCAGGAAAUGGGGAAUGACUUUCUCUUGACAAGAGAACUGCAUGUCGGUCAGCUCAACAACUACAAAGACAAGAAAGGAGGCUGUACAUUACUCUAGUUCAUUCAUUCAUUCUGAAUCACAUCUGAACAUCCCAUCUGCUUUUCCAGACACCAAGCCGACCAUGUGUAUAACAGGGUCCUCCUGAAAACUUGAGAAAAUACAACUUAUUCGCACAGAAUCACCCGAUUAUAUUAUAUAAAGCAAUCUACAUGUAUUUUACACCUACACCUGUAGAUAUACUGGACGAAUUUUAAUCAUGUGUGUACUUUUAAAUGGUUUUAAAUGUUGAGUUUCGUCAUAAGUGAGAUUUUGUUUGUGAGUGUGUGUGUAACCUUUGUUUUAAGUAUGUCUAAUUUCAUUUGGAGAAAGGUCUUUAUAUCAAUAUAUGGCUAUAUGAUCUGCUUUUAAUAUUUUCAUUGUAAUAUUGAAGUUUGUCGCGUUGACUAACUGACACAACUAUAAAAUAUCAAAGGGUGAUUGAUCAUUGGUUAUGUGAUUGCAGAUUGUACAGUUUUCAUUCCGCAAGACGUCGAGCUGCGACUUAUAAAGACCGACGGCCCAAUAACUCAUAUACAGAUUAUAGCCCACGAGACCGAUAUCCCGUUUGACCGACAUCCCUCUAGAUCGAUAAUGUUGGUUUAUUGUGCCAUCUUACAAUUUUCUGAGGUUUCAACAGUCCAUUGGGUCUAAUGGGAGGUCGGUCAAAUGGGAUGUCCCAAGAACAGCUCGUUAAUUGUUAUAGAACAAUUUUAUGUCUUUCAUUAUUGUGAGAUCUUCCAACAAUUUUACGUUUCAUGUGUCUUGCUAUACAGAAGGCCUAUAUAAUUAUAAUUCGUUAUUAAGAAGGUAAAUUUUGUAACGAACUUUAAUAUGACAUUUUUAUCAAUUAAAUUUUACACUUCCCAGCACACUUUGCAUUGUAGCAUGUGUAAACAUAUGAUGAGAUAUUAAAAAAAGCGUUUUAAGUUCAUUUUCGUGCAUUUUUGUGAGUGUUCAUACAGUACAAAUCUGUUUUACUUAUUUCCGAAAUUGUCUGUCUCUUUGUACAAUGUGGUAAGUUUUGUUUCUUUUAGUUCUUUCAGAUAUACUGCAUUAUAUAGGUGAACUUGCAUUUAUCAGAUUCUCAUUCAUUAUAGAAAUAGGUAGAAAACUUCCCUUCUUUUUUUCCUUUUUUUUCCAAAUUGCAUUUAAUUAAUCGAGGCAUAAAACAUAGGCAAUUAUUAAUUGAAUACAAUGAGCAAAUGAAGGGUUCAACAUCAUUAAAUACUGUUUUGUUUUUUAAUGAGAGAAACGGAUGACAAAGAGACGGGAUAGUAUUCAUCUUCGUAUAUGAAACGUCCAUGUUGCAAUGAAGGUUCCCUACAACGAUUAAAACAUUCUAUCUCUAAAACUAAUCAAAAUAUCAUAAUUGAUAACUUUAAAAAAAAAUUGUUUGAUGUUUGAAUAGAGUAUAUAUAGCGCCUUCGUCUUCUUGUGAACCCAAUCAUUUGUGAUCAGACUGCAAACGCUUUAUAGCCAUAAUACCAUCUGCGAAGGUUUGUUGUUGCUAUUAACAUUAAAUACGAGACGGCAAUUAACCACUAA